rfam:Parcubacteria bacterium GW2011_GWA2_43_13 TV70_C0005, whole genome shotgun sequence.
GCCCUCGUCGUUCAAUGGAUAGGACGCGAGCUUCCGGAGCUUGUAAUAGGGGUUCGAAUCCUCUCGAGGGCA